CACGUAGGAGGCAAACGUUAUCCGGAUUUACUCGGCGUAAAGCGCGUGUAGGUGGUUCUGUAAGUAGGGCGUGAAAGCUCCCGGCUCAACUGGGAGAGGCCGUUCUAUACUGCAGAGCUAGAGGAUGGUAGAGGGAGGUGGAAUUCCAGGUGUAGCGGUGGAAUGCGCAGAUAUCUGGAGGAACACCAGUGGCGAAGGCGGCCUCCUGGACCAUUCCUGACACUCAGACGCGAAAGCUAGGGUAGCAAACGGGAUUAGAUACCCCCGGUAGU
rnacentral:rRNA from 1 species